rnacentral:rRNA from 1 species
AUUGAACGCUGGCGGCAAGCCUAACACAUGCAAGUCGAACGAGUGGCGGACGGGUGAGUAAUGUCUGGGAAACUGCCUGAUGGAGGGGGAUAACUACUGGAAACGGUAGCUAAUACCGCAUACCAUCGGAUGUGCCAAGAUGGGAUUAGCUAGUAGGUGGGGUAAAGGCUCACCUAGGCGACGAUCCCUAGCUGGUCUGAGAGGAUUACCAGCCACACGGGAACUGAGACACGGUCCAGACUCCUACGCAGGGCAGCAGUGGGGAAUAUUGCACAAUGGGCACAAGCCUGGUUCAGCCAUGCCGCGUGUAUGAAGACGGCCUUCGGGUUGUAAAGUACUUUCAGCGGGGAGGCGUUACCCGCAGAAGAAGCACCGGCUAACUCCGUGCCAGCAGCCGCGGUAAUUC